GUUUCAGGGCGAGGUGUAAUUCCUCACUGGCGGUAACGGAUCCCUUGGGAACAUCGGGUUCCCCUCCGAAGCCCGCGACCCUGUUUGUGUUGGCGCACAAACAGGCUGAUCUGGUGCAAUUCCAGAGCCAACGGUUAAAGUCCGAAUGGAAGAGA
rnacentral:ncRNA from 1 species